GCAGCCGUGGCCUACUGGUUAGGGCUUUGGACUUGAAACCGGAGGGUUGCCGGUUCGAAACAUGACCAGUAGAA
rnacentral:tRNA from 1 species